AAUGCCAUGGCAUCUUGUUCCAAACCACAAAACAAGAUGAAGGGCUUCCCAAUAUGUUUUACAAAAUAGCAAACUCUUACUCUUGAAAUGGAUUAGCAAAAAUACAUGUGCAACCAAUAUCAUUAAUACACUGAGAUGUUGAAGCUAGUUAUUUCUUCUACUAAAAGGGACAAUACUUGAAAAUUACCAAAAGGAAACAAAGGUCGAAUUCUAAGUCAUCCAAAUAGAACAGAACACAAAGACAUUAUACAAUGUGUUCCCUUCCACCCACCGUGCCUUUCACUAGUGAGAACGCCAACUGCUCUCUUUAGAGUGAAGAAUGGGCCUCGUGUCACACUGAGUGGAGAAGCUGCUGGAUGUGGCCCUGGAACGUGCACUAGUAUAUACCCCUCACCCUUCACUGACCCUGGCUGCAUCUCCUGCUGAAACUCUCUCUUCCUCCUCUCUCAAAUCCUCUUCAUACAGGAAUGGGUAUGAAGUGAGUUCUCUUCCACUGAUCUUGGUCACGUACUCCAAGACUUUCUUCUUGCUGGUUUCAGCAUGGGCCCUUGGACCCCACAGGAACUCAUAGCAUGCAGGAUCACUUCUGGGCACCUGCCAGUACUCCAGUGCUCCUCUAGGGCCUCCUUGGGUUCCUGUCCUCCUGGUCAGCCUGUCCCCUGAGAAUCUGAAGAGAAGUGAGACAGCUCCUGAGGUUACAGCCAGCCAGCAGAGGCCAAGGCUCCAACACUGAUGGAGCCUGGGUCCACUUCCCUCUGCCGAUCUCAAGCCGCCCCUCAGACCGAGACCCUCGCUUCUCUGACCCCUAGGCGUCGCAGCCGGCCACCAAGCCUGGGGCUUCCUCGGGUUGACUGCAGGUGUUGUACCGGAUUCUGCUAUGAGUGGGGGUGGAAAUGGGGGUGGGGGUCGUGAGGGU
rnacentral:lncRNA from 1 species